rnacentral:lncRNA from 1 species
GCUGGCUUUCAUCCUGAGUCCUGGACGAAGAACUGCUGUCUGCUGCCCUCUGCUCAACCUGUAUAGCUCCACCAUCUGUGACACCAGCCAUGAAGACACUUGCUCUCCUUGCUGCCAUUCUCCUGCUGGCCCUCCAGGCCCAGAGUGACCUCUCCCAGCAACAGUUGAGGAGGCUUCAGCCCAGGAGCAGAUGGAGAAGAGACCAGUCACAACCAUCUCCAUUACAGGGGUGGAAAGCUCUGAUUUCCAAGAUGCAGGUUUAAGAGCAGGAGUAGACUGCUACUGCAGAAGGGGAGGAUGUAAUUUUCCAGAACGCAGAAUUGGAAUGUGCUAUACACGGUAUCUACUACAAUCUCUGCUGCCGUUAAUCAUCAAGAAAGUAAAAAUGCGUGUACCAUUUGCCUGGAGAUGCAGAAGGCCACUGCUAAGUCUCC